UUGUUGACUAGCUUUGCAUGGCAGGCUCCCUGCACUUUCGUGCGGCCAACUGUCAUGGGGCUGUCUAUUCGUGUUGUCCAUUAGCCUAGUAUUUUGCUAGUUAUGGAUGAUUGCCAUCGGUUGCCUGUAUGGAUCUACCCUUUGGGGUAGCGCAUGAUUGUUUCGUUGCUGCUUAUUUAGCUUGCUCUGUUAAUGUUAUUGUUGACAGGGCGGCCGAGAUGUCAGCGGAUUCCAAGUGUAUCCAUGUGCGUAGCCGUGGUAAUGCACUUGGAUGUUCGCUGGGUCUCUCGGAUGCGGUCCCUAUUGUGAGCUCUACAGGCCUCUUGUCUGCAGAACCUGUGAGGUAGCCCCUGCAAAGAUCAUUGCUCUAUCGCUUGAAUGACAUGACGUGGUUUAAGCGUCAUGUUGUAGUUAUAGGGUCUUGUUCUUUGUCUGCGGCAUGCCUCUCGACCGAAUGACUUGCGAUUGCUGGUUUGCGCUAUCACAAGG
rnacentral:misc_RNA from 1 species